rnacentral:rRNA from 1 species
UAUCUCUGUAGAGUCUGCAUAUCAAUAAGCGGAGGAAAAGAAACUAACUAGGAUUCCCUUAGUAACGGCGAGUGAAGCGGGAAGAGCUCAAAUUUGAAAUCUUCAAGGUUCUACCUUGACGAAUUGUAGUUUAAAGAAGUGUUUUCUGUUAGUGAGUUGGCUAAAAGUUCUCUGGAAUAGGACAUCAUAGAGGGUGAGAAUCCCGUAUUUGAUCAUUCCUUCUAGCUGUGUGAUACACUUUCAAAGAGUCGGAUUGUUUGGGAAUGCAGUCCAAAAUGGGUGGUAAAUUUCAUCUAAAGCUAAAUAUUGGCGAGAGACCGAUAGCGAACAAGUACCGUGAGGGAAAGAUGAAAAGAACUUUGAAAAGAGAGUUAAACAGUACGUGAAAUUAUCAAAAGGGAAGCGUUUGACACCAGUGUUGUUUUUCCGAAAAUCAAUUAAGAAUGUUUUAUUUUUGAGGAGUUAUGACUUCAUCGGCUUGCUCCUUUCUUUAUGAAACUUUCUUAAUGCACUUUUCGGUUAACAAGUCAACAUCAAUUUCUUUUGUUGUAAAAGGGUAUGAGGAAGGUGGCUUUCUUUUCGGAGAAAGUGUUUAUAGCCUUUUACCUCUGCAAUCGGAGAGAUUGAGGACAGCAGCGUAGACUCUUCGGGGUUAGAUACACUUGUGCUAAGCUAUAGCCUUGUAUAGACAACUUGUUGACUAUGCUCAGUCAUGUAGCUUACUCGCUUGUGCUAUUUUACCUACGCUUAGGAUGUUGAACGCGCACAGAGUCUC